AAACCAACCCGAUUACAACCCGAUUACAACCCGAGAAUUUAAAACCCCCAAUUCUCAAAAUCCCCAAUUCCCAGAAUCCCUAAUUCUAAGAACCUAAGAACCCUAGAAACUCAGAAAACUCAAAUUGGAGAUUUCAACUGAUGGAUUCAAAUGAGUUGGAGCCGCCGUCGUCUGAUGUUGUCGUUCAUCACCAGCCUUCCGAGUCUGAUCCGCAAGCAGAAGAAGGAGAAGGAAAUCCAGAACCAGACAUUGAACCCGACGAUGAAGACCCACUAGAGCGAGACCAGUUUGAAAUCGAGAAGACUCGAUAAAAAUCACGAGGUUGAAAUUUCGAUUGAGGUUCAAGUUUCCAUAUAUUGAAGGCAACUUAUCCAUGGGGAAAGCAUCGGAAGAAAAAGCAUAUUAACGAUAUAUGGUGAUUUGACUCUUUGUGUGUGUCUCUCUCUCUCCAACAACAAGGAAGUUGGACUGCAGUCCACUUAUUGCAAUGAAAUGGAAAACCACAAAAAGUGAUGAUAAAAGAAUCGAAUCUAGCUAACUACUGAAAAAAUGUCAAAACGUCAAAGGUGAGUUGACCUCUGUUUUUUCCCUCUCUUUGACCUUAAUUUCUCCUUCUUACAGGUGAGGAAUUCUUCAAUACGACUACAAAUUGGGAUAUAUGGAUUAAGCUCUGCUAUUAUAUUCGCGAAGAGCAUUAUGUUGAGGGUAUUGGUGUAUUUCAAAGUUCAAAAUGUCCUCAAAGUGCCCUCCAACUCAUCAUUAUUCAGUUUCGCUUAUUUGCUCUGUUUAAAUCUUACUUAACGUAUUAUUCGUCAUGAAUAUAAGUUAUAAUAUGAUUUACGUUUAAAUGAUUAUGUCUGAUCUUCUUAUUCAAACUUUUAAAUAUGUUUCGUUUUGCCUGUC